GUCCUCCGUGGCUCUCCCGUCAUCCUUGGAGAUGACAACGCAGACUUCUUUAAGAAUUUGUGUGAGUUUAGGAUGGCGUGAAGCUUCGACUUGACCCUAUGGAAACACAGCAGAUGCCACCAAAGGGUCCUGAUCGGGGACUCUGAUGACCUUCUGGACGUGUCCCAGACCUCCAUUGGGACCCUGACGGUGCUGAAGACAUUGUGGCCUCCUCACUCGCUGGACCUGGAGUCUACAACUACUGCCAUCGUUUUGGGAGGAACAGUCGUGAUGGGUGACCGUGAUAAUCUUCCCCGUGCCGUGUGGCUACUCUUCGGACUUAUUUACCCCUGA